AGAGUUUGAUCCUGGCUCAGGAUGAACGCUGACAGAAUGCUUAACACAUGCAAGUCAAUGGGGAAACGGUGCUUGCACCGUGAUAACCAUGGCGGACGGGUGAGUAACGCGUAAAGAACUUGCCUCUUAGUCUGGGAUAACAGAUGGAAACGACUGAUAAGACUAGAUAUUAUUAAAGUUUCGCAUGAAGCUUUAAUGAAAAGAGAUGCUAAGAGAGAGCUUUGCGUCCUAUUAGUUAGUUGGUGAGGUAACGGCUCACCAAGACGAAGAUAGGUAGCCGGUCUGAGAGGAUGAACGGCCACAAGGGGACUGAGAUACGGCCCUUACUCUUACGGGAGGCAGCAGUGGGGAAUAUUGGACAAUGGAGGAGACUCUGAUCCAGCAAUUCUGUGUGCACGAAGACGGUUUUCGGAUUGUAAAGUGCUUUCAGCAGGGAAGAAGAAAGUGACGGUACCUGCAGAAGAAGCGACGGCUAAAUACGUGCCAGCAGCCGCGGUAAUACGUAUGUCGCAAGCGUUAUCCGGAAUUAUUGGGCAUAAAGGGCAUCUAGGCGGAUAUACAAGUCAGGGGUGAAAACUUAGGGCUCAACUCAAAGCUUGCCUUUGAAACUGUAUAUCUAGAGUGCUGGAGAGGUGGACGGAACUACACGAGUAGAGGUGAAAUUCGUAGAUAUGUGUAGGAAUGCCGAUGAUGAAGAUAGUCCACUGGACAGCAACUGACGCUGAAGUGCGAAAGCUAGGGGAGCAAACAGGAUUAGAUACCCUGGUAGUCCUAGCUGUAAACGAUGAUUACUGGGUGUGGGCAUGAAGAGUGUCUGUGCCGAAGCUAAUGCGAUAAGUAAUCCGCCUGGGGAGUACGACCGCAAGGUUGAAACUCAAAGGAAUUGACGGGGACCCGCACAAGCGGUGGAGCAUGUGGUUUAAUUCGA
rnacentral:rRNA from 1 species